GAUGAACGCUAGCGGCAGGCUUAAUACAUGCAAGUCGAGGGGCAGCAUGGGUAGCAAUACCUGAUGGCGACCGGCAAACGGGUGCGGAACACGUACGCAACUUUCCCAGAACUGGUGAAUAGCCCUCCGAAAGGAGGAUUAAUACACCGUAAGAUAGAGAUGUGGCAUCACAUUUUUAUUAUAGCUCCGGCGGUUUUGGAUGGGCGUGCGCCUGAUUAGGUAGUUGGCGGGGUAACGGCCCACCAAGCCUACGAUCAAUAACUGGUGUGAGAGCACGACCAGUCACACGGGCACUGAGACACGGGCCCGACUCCUACGGGAGGCAGCAGUAAGGAAUAUUGGUCAAUGGACGCAAGUCUGAACCAGCCAUGCCGCGUGAAGGAUGAAGGCCCUCUGGGUUGUAAACUUCUUUUAUCUGGGACGAAAAAGGGGCAUUCUUGCUCAACUGACGGUACCAGAGGAAUAAGCACCGGCUAACUCCGUGCCAGCAGCCGCCGUAAAAC
rnacentral:rRNA from 1 species